AGAAAGAAUUGCUUUCCACAACCUUUACAAAGCUGUAUUCUUUGCUCUAUUUGUUCCAUUCUUGUUUAUAUACCUUUCCCCACUUGAUUUCUUCAAUCUAUAAACUUAAUCCCAGAGAGCAAAAAAAACCAAACCCAAUUGAACUUUCAAGCUCACAACCUUUCUAAUUAUGUCAUUGAGCCCUCCUCGUGUCCGAAACAAUGGCAACCCAACAACCUACCCUCUCUACUGGUGCUACCAAUGCCACAGAAUGGUCAGGGUUGCUUCCACGAACCCAUCAGAGGUUAUUUGUCCACGUUGUUUGGGGCAGUUCCUCAUUGAGAUGAACGUAGCUAGGCCUAGACUAGUCAUUGAUCACACUGAUUUUGAUCCCUCCCCGGAAGCCCGUCUACUUGAGGCCCUUGCACUCAUGCUUGACCCCCCAAUUAGGCGCUUCCACCAUGGUUUACAUGACCCGGAAGCUGAAUCCCAAGGCCAUCCUUUGCCUCCUCCCCCAGGUCUUGAAACAAGACCCCGGACACGUUCAAGACGGCAAUGGAGAGAGAGCCCGGAUACAGAACCUGAAAUCCAAGGCCAACCUCGGACAUGGAUUAUUCUUAGACCUUUAGAUCCUGCUGACCCUUUUAGACCAAUACUUCAACCACAACCAGCACCUUCAGGAUUUGAUCAUAGAAAUUUCUUUUUCGGGCCAGGACUAAACGAAAUGAUUGAGCAGCUGACUGAAAAUGAUAGGCCAGGGCCUUCUCCAGCACCAGAAGAAGCAAUCAAUGCAAUACCAACUGUGAAAAUCACAGAAGAGCAUUUGAAAAAUGACUCACAAUAUUGCCCUGUGUGCAAGGAAGAGUUUAAUGUUGGAGGAGAAGCUAGGGAAAUGCCUUGCAAGCAUAUAUAUCACUCUGAUUGUAUUGUUCCUUGGCUAAGGCUUCAUAACUCUUGUCCUGUUUGCCGGCAUGAGCUGCCAGUGCCUUCUGAUUCUGAAGAUCAGCAGCAGGUAAGAGUAAGAGUAGAGAAUGAUUCUGAGGAUUCUCAAGUUGGAGGACAGAGUAGGAGACGUAGGAGUUUGAGGUGGAGCCAUUUGACAUCUUUGUGGCCAUUUCGACCAAGAUAUCGACAGAUUAAUCCACAUGCUGAUCAUGACAUUAAUAUUGGUACUUCUCGAAGGGUCAACUCAUGUUGGGAUUCUUGCCAUAUUCUUUAGCCCAAAAUGUUGCUGCUUAUGCUGGAAGCAAUUGAUAUGGACUUUGUGGUUAAACUGUUUUUACUAGGAAUGAGCAAGCCGGUUUCGGUAGAUUAUAAAACCUUUCAACAUUCUGAAACAUUGAAUAUCACAGCUGUUAUAUAUAGCUUGCUCAUAAUUCAUACACCAUGACAGCCGAAUAAUGGAUGGGAGGAAAUCUGAGACAUGUCGCCCGAACAUGCUACUUCUAUUGCUUUGUGUUUAUUAUUUGUCAUGAUAACGCCACUGCAGUAAAAUCUGCACGUACAGGGGGCAUUGUCCGCAAUACUACGUCUUUACCAAGUAAAUGAAAAAAAUAUAUAUACACUUAAACGUGUGACAGUGUUUUUAUGUACAUGAAUUUACGUAAGUUGCGUUAAUGUGAUACUUCGAAAAAAGUGUCAUUCUCAUAUGCAAGGACUCAUCUGAUGACAAAGACAAUAGGGCUGCCUAAGCCAUUGGAUUGCA